rnacentral:rRNA from 1 species
CAGCAGCCGCGGGAAUACGUAGGGUGCGAGCGUUAAUCGGAAUUACUGGGCGUAAAGCGGGCGCAGACGGUUACUUAAGCAGGAUGUGAAAUCCCCGGGCUCAACCUGGGAACUGCGUUCUGAACUGGGUGACUAGAGUGUGUCAGAGGGAGGUAGAAUUCCACGUGUAGCAGUGAAAUACGUAGAGAUGUGGAGGAACACCAGUGGCGAAGGCGACUCUCUGGUCUGUAACUGACGCUCAUGCACGAAAGCGUGGGGAGCAAACAGGAUUAGAUACCCCCGUAGUCCCUGUCUCUUAUAC